UACGUAGGGAGCAAGCGUUGUCCGGAAUCAUUGGGCGUAAAGCGCGCGUAGGUGGCUUCAUAAGCCCGUUGUGAAAGUCAAAGGCUCAACCUUUGAAAGCCGAUGGAUACUGUGAAGCUAGAGUACGGAAGAGGCGAGUGGAAUUCCUGGUGUAGCGGUGGAAUGCGCAGAUAUCAGGAGGAACACCAAUAGCGAAGGCAGCUCGCUGGGACGUUACUGACACUGAGGCGCGAAAGCGUGGGGAGCGAACAGG
rnacentral:rRNA from 1 species